UACAGAGGGUGCGAGCGUUAAUCGGAAUUACUGGGCGUAAAGCGCGCGUAGGCGGCUUUGCAAGUCGGAUGUGAAAUCCCCGGGCUCAACCUGGGAACUGCAUUCGAGACUGCAUUGCUAGAGUAUGGGAGAGGGAAGUGGAAUUUCAGGUGUAGCGGUGAAAUGCGUAGAUAUCUGAAGGAACAUCAGUGGCGAAAGCGACUUCCUGGACCAAUACUGACGCUCAUGUGCGAAAGCGUGGGGAGCAAACAGG
rnacentral:rRNA from 1 species